rnacentral:rRNA from 1 species
UGGGGAAUAUUGCACAAUGGGAACCGUACUGCAGCAACGCCGCGUGAAGGAAGACGGUUUUUCGGAUUGUAAAACUUCUUUUCUUAGUGAAGAAACAAAUGACGGUAGCUAAGGAAUAAGCAUCGGCUAACUACGUGCCAGCAGCCGCGGUAAUACGUAGGAUGCGAGCGUUAUCCGGAUUUACUGGGUGUAAAGGGAGCGCAGGCGGGACUGCAAGUUGGAUGUGAAAUACCGCAGCUUAACUGCGGAGCUGCAUCCAAAACUGUAGUUCUUGAGUGGAGUAGAGGCAAGCGGAAUUCCGAGUGUAGCGGUGAAAUGCGUAGAUAUUCGGAGGAACACCAGUGGCGAAGGCGGCUUGCUGGGCUCUAACUGACGCUGAGGCUCGAAAGUGUGGGGAGCAAACAGGAUUAGAUACC